UACGUAGGUGUCGAGCGUUGUCCGGAUUUAUUGGGCGUAAAGAGCCCGCAGGCGGCUUGGCAAGUUUGAGGUGAAAUCUCCCGGCUUAACUGGGAGGGGGCCUCGAAAACUGCCAGGCUUGAGGCAUGGAGAGGGAUGCGGAAUUCCCGGUGUAGUGGUGAAAUGCGCAGAUAUCAGGAAGAACACCCGUGGCGAAGGCGGCUCUCUGGGACGGUACUGACGCUGAGACGCGAAAGCGUGGGGAGCGAACAGG
rnacentral:rRNA from 1 species